CAAGCUUUUAAGAGCAGAUGGCGGAUGCCUUGCCAAAGAGAGGCGAUGAAGGACGUACUAGACUGCGAUAAGCUAUGCGGAGCUGUCAAGGAGCUUUGAUGCGUAGAUGUCCGAAUGGGGCAACCCAACUAAUAGAGAUAUUAGUUACUCUUUAAUAGAGAGCGAACCUAGUGAAGUGAAACAUCUCAGUAACUAGAGGAAAAGAAAUCAACGAGAUUCCCUAAGUAGUGGCGAGCGAACGGGGAAAAGGGCAAACCGAGUGCUUGCAUUCGGGGUUGAGGACUGCAACAUCCAAGAGAACGCUUUAGCAGAGUUACCUGGAAAGGUAAGCCAUAGAAAGUGAUAGCCUUGUAUGCGACAAGGUCGUUUUUAGGUAGCAGUAUCCAGAGUAGGCCAGGACACGAGAAAUCCAGGUUGAAGGCCGGGGAGACCACUCUCCAACCCUAAAUACUACUCUUUGAGCGAUAGCGAACAAGUACCGUGAGGGAAAGGUGAAAAGAACCGCAGUGAGCGGAGUGAAAUAGAACCUGAAACCAUCUGCUUACAAUCAUUCAGAGCCCUAUGAUUUAUCAGGGUGAUGGACUGCCUUUUGCAUAAUGAUCCUGCGAGUUGUGGUAUCUGGCAAGGUUAAGCGAAUGCGAAGCCGUAGCGAAAGCGAGUCUUAAUAGGGCGAACAAGUCAGAUGCUGCAGACCCGAAGCUAAGUGAUCUAUCCAUGGCCAAGUUGAAACGCGUGUAAUAGCGCGUGGAGGACUGAACUCGUACCCAUUGAAACGGGUUGGGAUGAGCUGUGGAUAGGGGUGAAAGGCCAAACAAACUUAGUGAUAGCUGGUUCUCUUCGAAAUAUAUUUAGGUAUAGCCUCAAGUGAUAAUAAAAGGGGGUAGAGCCCUGAUUGGGCUAGGGCUGCUCGCCGCGGUACCAAACCCUAUCAAACUUCGAAUACCUUUUAUCGUAUCUUGGGAGUCAGGCGGUGGGUGAUAAAAUCAAUCGUCAAAAGGGGAACAACCCAGACUACCAAAUAAGGUCCCUAAGUUCUAUUCUGAGUGGAAAAAGAUGUGUGGCUACUCAAACAACCAGGAGGUUGGCUUAGAAGCAGCCAUCCUUUAAAGAAAGCGUAACAGCUCACUGGUCUAGUGGUCAUGCGCUGAAAAUAUAACGGGGCUAAGAUAGACACCGAAUUUGUAGAUUGUGUUUGACACAGUGGUAGAAGAGCGUUCAUACCAGCGUUGAAGGUAUACCGGUAAGGAGUGCUGGAGCGGUAUGAAGUGAGCAUGCAGGAAUGAGUAACGAUAAGAUAUAUGAGAAUUGUAUCCGCCGUAAAUCUAAGGUUUCCUACGCGAUGGUCGUCAUCGUAGGGUUAGUCGGGUCCUAAGCCGAGUCCGAAAGGGGUAGGUGAUGGCAAAUUGGUUAAUAUUCCAAUACCGACUUAUGGAGCGUGAUGGGGGGACGCAUAGGGUUAAGCGAGCUAGCUGAUGGAAGCGCUAGUCUAAGGGCGUAGAUUGGAGGGAAGGCAAAUCCACCUCUGUAUUUGAAACCCAAACAGGCUCUUUGAGUCCUUUUAGGACAAAGGGAGAAUCGCUGAUACCGUCGUGCCAAGAAAAGCCUCUAAGCAUAUCCAUAGUCGUCCGUACCGCAAACCGACACAGGUAGAUGAGAUGAGUAUUCUAAGGCGCGUGAAAGAACUCUGGUUAAGGAACUCUGCAAACUAGCACCGUAAGUUCGCGAUAAGGUGUGCCACAGCGAUGUGGUCUCAGCAAAGAGUCCCUCCCGACUGUUUACCAAAAACACAGCACUUUGCCAACUCGUAAGAGGAAGUAUAAGGUGUGACGCCUGCCCGGUGCUCGAAGGUUAAGAGGAUGCGUCAGUCGCAAGAUGAAGCGUUGAAUUGAAGCCCGAGUAAACGGCGGCCGUAACUAUAACGGUCCUAAGGUAGCGAAAUUCCUUGUCGGUUAAAUACCGACCUGCAUGAAUGGCGUAACGAGAUGGGAGCUGUCUCAACCAGAGAUUCAGUGAAAUUGUAGUGGAGGUGAAAAUUCCUCCUACCCGCGGCAAGACGGAAAGACCCCGUGGACCUUUACUACAACUUAGCACUGCUAAUGGGAAUAUCAUGCGCAGGAUAGGUGGGAGGCUUUGAAGUAAGGGCUUUGGCUCUUAUGGAGCCAUCCUUGAGAUACCACCCUUGAUGUUUCUGUUAGCUAACUGGCCUGUGUUAUCCACAGGCAGGACAAUGCUUGGUGGGUAGUUUGACUGGGGCGGUCGCCUCCUAAAAAGUAACGGAGGCUUGCAAAGGUUGGCUCAUUGCGGUUGGAAAUCGCAAGUUGAGUGUAAUGGCACAAGCCAGCCUGACUGUAAGACAUACAAGUCAAGCAGAGACGAAAGUCGGUCAUAGUGAUCCGGUGGUUCUGUGUGGAAGGGCCAUCGCUCAAAGGAUAAAAGGUACCCCGGGGAUAACAGGCUGAUCUCCCCCAAGAGCUCACAUCGACGGGGAGGUUUGGCACCUCGAUGUCGGCUCAUCGCAUCCUGGGGCUGGAGCAGGUCCCAAGGGUAUGGCUGUUCGCCAUUUAAAGCGGUACGCGAGCUGGGUUCAGAACGUCGUGAGACAGUUCGGUCCCUAUCUGCCGUGGGCGUAGGAAAGUUGAGGAGAGCUGUCCCUAGUACGAGAGGACCGGGAUGGACGUGUCACUGGUGCACCAGUUGUUCUGCCAAGAGCAUCGCUGGGUAGCUACACACGGAUGUGAUAACUGCUGAAAGCAUCUAAGCAGGAAGCCAACUCCAAGAUAAACUUUCCCUGAAGCUCGCACAAAGACUAUGUGCUUGAUAGGGUAGAUGUGUAAGCGCAGUAAUGCGUUUAGCUGACUACUACUAAUAGAGCGUUUGGCUUGUUUU
rnacentral:rRNA from 1 species